rnacentral:rRNA from 1 species
UACGGAGGGAGCUAGCGUUGUUCGGAAUUACUGGGCGUAAAGCGCACGUAGGCGGCGAUUCAAGUCAGAGGUGAAAGCCCGGGGCUCAACCCCGGAACUGCCUUUGAAACUAGUAUUAGCUAGAAUCCUGGAGAGGUGAGUGGAAGUUCCGAGUGUAAGAGGUGAAAUUCGUAGAUAUUCGGAAGAACACCAGUGGCGAAGGGCGAACUCACUGGACAGGUAUUGACGCUGAGGUGCGAAAGCGUGGGGAGCAAACAGG